ACCAAGGGUAGGGGAUCUGUCAAGGGACGGGGCUACCCAUGCAGUGCUCGACAGCUCACCAAAACUCAUAAACUGCCCCUCCAGCUGAAUAAUUGUCCACGCUGCUAUAUAGGAAAGGGUGCACUAUCCCUGUUGUCUGAUUGCCUGGCUGAGAGUAUGGAUAAAGGACACAGACUUUACACUCACUGAAUAGCUGCUGCAUGUUUAUAUGAACUGCACUGUAGGACCUUGGAAGCAACAAGACAUUCCUGUGAAAGUCAGCCUGCAGUGAGUGGAAAUAAGUGGCAGUGAAGUGAUGACUGCACUGUCAAGACACUCGAGAAGGAAAUGAUCCAUGCAAGCAAAUUCCACCAGCAGCCCCAAACAUUCAGCUAGCUAGUGAUUUUUAAACAAGGUCUCUGAAUUCAUUGCAGCCUAAUGCCUCUUUCCUUAAAGCAAUGAGACUUUAAUAAAAUAUUUCAUGUUUUAUGCUGGAGCCAAGAAGAAUUGUGGAUGGGCAAGAUAUUUUAGUGAGAGCAAGCUAGCACAGAUACAUAGAGCCCAGAACUCAUUUAAGAAAAAAAGGAUCCUUACAAGAAGAAUGAACUAGCAACCACAACAGCACUUUUCCUUAUGGAGCAGGCUCGUCUGGGGUUGGUACAUUGCUAGCACAGUUGUCAGAAGGGUAGAGCUAAGAUGACUUUUUCUUCCCUACUCUCUGCAUCAGAGGAUUGAAGCAAAACAGUCAUAUCUCUGCAGUGCAUCAGGGGAUGGAUGAGGCAGAAGCAUGCAGUCAUAAGUACAUGUUUGGGUAGUUGCUGCCACUUAGAACUAACUCAGUUAGCUCAAGGUUUUUCUCCCAAUGGGAGCAGCCCAGAGAGUGGUUUCCCCCGCUGCUACGUCCUCUCUUCCCCCCACAACCCCACCCCACCCCACCAGCAGCCAAGGGAGAUCUAGACUCCCUCUGGGUGUUAGCCCAGGAGCUGGCAGGGAGCAUGUGGCCAGGAGACAAUCAGGGGCUAGCUGCCCCACCAGUGGAUCAGGGCAGGGGGCUAGGACCUGCCCCUCCCCUGCAGAUGUUUCCAAGCCCUGUGCCUUGAUCACCCGAUUGGGACACAAGGCUGGGAAGAGGUUGUGGGGCUGGGACCUGUUCCAGAUCAGGACAGUUCCUGGCCAGCCCUGGUCACAUGAGCCC